GUGGGGAAUAUUGGGCAAUGGGCGCAAGCCUGACCCAGCCACGCCGCGUGAGUGAUGAAGGCCUUCGGGUCGUAAAGCUCUGUGGGGAGGGACGAAAAAACGAUGGCCAAUAUCCAUUGGACUGACGGUACCUCCUUAGCAAGCACCGGCUAACUCUGUGCCAGCAGCCGCGGUAAUACAGAGGGUGCAAACGUUGCUCGGAAUCAUUGGGCGUAAAGCGCACGUAGGCGGCCUAGCAAGUAGGGAGUGAAAGCCCUCGGCUUAACCGAGGAAGUGCUUUCUAAACUACUAGGCUUGAAUACUGGAGAGGGUCGCGGAAUUCCCGGUGUAGAGGUGAAAUUCGUAGAUAUCGGGAGGAACACCAGUGGCGAAGGCGGCGACCUGGACAGAUAUUGACGCUGAGGUGCGAAAGCGUGGGGAGCAAACAGGAUUAGAAACCCUUGUAGUCC
rnacentral:rRNA from 1 species